UACGCGACGUCGCCUGCGCUUUGGUCCUGGGCUUCUGUCGGCUCUUGUGAAGGGUCUUUCCGGCCGGUCGCCACCUUAGGUCCCUCUGCCAGCAGCUUCCGCCCUCUGUAACCUGGUGACCUGAGGCUCCGGGAGCCGUGGGAGGACUCCGGGCAGGACGCCCCGGAAGCCGGAAAUGGUGAGUGUCGGGGCCGGGAGUCGGGAGUCCAGCUGGCGCUGUCGGAACCCGCAGGAAAUGGAGGGCCUCCGGGCGCAAGCUCCGAGUUUGCCGCCAGCUCCGCCGCUGGCCCCUCUCGGCCCUCGGUCCCCUAUGGCCCGAGAAUGGGGCUGGACCGACAUCUCGGACCUCAGCGACCUGUCCUGUCCCUGUGCGGCCCCUUAGCUUGGCCGGGAGCCUUCUCUGGGCAGCUCCGCGCCUCCCCAGAUUGGGGUGACGGCGGGAGUGUCACGGGAGACUCCAACUCAUGUGUGGGGUUCUUGCCGUGGAGGAGGUGGGGUGUGCAGGGCCGCAGUCCCUCCGUUCCCCCCAAGGGGGACCCUUUUGCCCGGAGUUUUCCAAAUGUAGGGGAAGUCUCAAAUCAAGGACCCUAAUCCCUCCCAAGUCUUCCUAGGGCUGGCAGUAAAUCCCUAAAUUUCCAGUACCCUUUCCGUGUUCCAAAAUGGUAACUUCCCUCUCUCAUUCACAGCAUCGAGUUCAACUAUUUGUCCUUUCUACACACGGAGUUUUAAUUAUAAUUUUUCCAUAGUACCAUGGAUGCCUGUAUGUAAAGACUUUUUUUCUUUUUGUUGAUUUUGUUUUCUUUGUUUGUUUGUUAGUAUUUUACCUGAAAGGAAAGCAAGAGAAUAACCUCUUGGAUCUGUUGUCUCUCAGAUGCAUGCGCCCCUUCUUAUAAUCUUUACUGGGCAGGAACAUUCAAGGGAACUCCUUUGGAUUGAGGUUCUUCUUUGGAAAUCUUCCAGACUGAUCUGCCUUUAAGUUCAGCUGCAGAUCAACCCUGCUCUUCCUUAGCAUUUCAACCUCUAUUGAUUUAACUACUACUGAUAUUUACAGAAAACUGAAUACGUUUAUGUAUUCAGUUUUGUAUUCAGUUUUCUGUAAAUGUCAGUAGUAGUUAAAUCAAUAGAGGUUGAAAGACAAUACAAAAUAUUUCCUAGAGUCAAGAAAGACAUGAAUUUCAGAAGAAUAAAACAAAAGAGUCCUAGCUUACAUUACAAUUUUUCUCCAAUUAUCAGAGCCUAUUAUAUUCCAUCUUUAUUUUUUAGUUUUUUAUAUUAGGCAUUGAACCCAGCAGUGUUUUACCACCGAGCUACAUCCCCAGCCUCUUUUUAAAAAAAAUUUUUUAGUUGUAGAUGGACACAAUAUCUUUAUUUUAUUUUUUCUGUAGUGCUGAGGAUCAAACCCAGGGCCUCACACUGCCAGGGGAGCGCCCUACCACUGAGCCCCCAGCCUCUUAAAAAAUAAAUUAAAAAAAAAAAAAUUGUAACAGGGUCUCAUUAAGUUGCUGAGGCCUUGAACUUAUGAUCCUUCUGCUUCAGCCUCCUCAGCCGCUGGAAUUAUAGGUGUGUACUACUACACCUGGCUUCAUCUUUAUUUUUAUUUCUCUUGUAGUGCCAGGGAUCUAAUCAAAGUCCUGUGUGUGCAGAAGCUCUACCACUGAGCUACAUGCCCAGACUUUUUUAUAUAUUUAUCUUUUUGAGACAGUAUUGCUAAGUUACCCAGCCUGACCUGAAACUUGGGUUCAAAUACCAUCAUUAAUUGUAUACAAAAUAAUUUCCUACAUGAAUGUUUUAGAGUGAACUGAAGACUUCAUUUUCUGAAAAAAAAAAAAAAAAAUCCGGAUAUUUUUAGGUUUUCUUGCUGAGUUGGCAAAUGUACAUUACAGUUUUCUUUCCAUGAAUACUAGGUUUGAGUGAUUUUGCUGGAUUCUUCAAACACUGGCUUUGUAUCAUUUAAAAUAUCAAUGGAGGAAGAGAGAUGUAGCUCAGUCAGAGUGUGUACCUUGCACGGGCAAGGCCCUGGGUUCCAUCCCUAGCAUCACACACAUGAAAAAAAUCAGCGGUGACCUUCAGAACUAUGAGUUAAAUAAAACCUCUUUUCUUUAUAUAGUUAAUUAGAUUAUCAGUGGUUGUUCAAAGCUACUUGUUGACUCAGAGGCAGAUGCCCAAGGCCAGUGACACUGAGUUAAGGCUACCUUUGAGCCUGCAGAGGGAAGUAAUGGAAGAUCAAACUGGUUCUUUCUGGGGAUUGUCCCCUGGCAGGUGUCCUGCCUGCUCACACCCACCUAGGAAAGAGCUCUUUGUAUUAAGUAAAGAUGCAAAGCACUGGAAAACUGGGCAUCCACAUGCAUGAUGGGUUACAGAGGCUCAUUCUUGGGUCUUUGUAUAGACCCUUUUGAAUUUUGUAUCCAGAAAUUUGUUGCACAUAGUGUUUUAAUUGUGCGUACUGGGAAAAUCAGUGAAGAUCAGGGUUUCUAUGUUUUGGAAAAACUGUUAAUAAAUUUGGGAAUUUAUUUGAUUCAAACCCUAAACUGAAUCCAACUGAGAGUUUCCUCACUUAUGAGAACAGGUAUAUGUGGGGUGGGAGGUAUUUCCUUGCCAUCUAGGAAGAGGACUCCAUUCCUGUGGCUGCCCAGGUACCCUGCCCUCCAUCUCCAGGGAUUGACCUAUGCUAGGAGUUAUAUUUAAAUUAUGAAAGCCCACCCCCAGACUUGGGAAUAUUUUAACCCACAGUAUGUGAUUUUUCCUUAUGAAUGAUGGGGAAACAGUUUGUUUAUCUGAACAGAUUCAGUGUUGCAUUUAUUUGUUUAUUUUGAUUCCUUCAUUGGAUAUUGCUUUCUUUUAACAUAGUUUCUUUAAACUUUGUAAUUUUAUUCCUUCUGUUAUGUGUAAAUUUUAGUUUCUUGUUUGAAUCUGUAGAUUGAGAGACAUGUUAGUCAAGAAAAUUCUGGAACAGCACAAUUUUUGUCACUUUUAGGCAUGAGAGAGACAGUGAUGGGAGGAUGUAUUUUAAGUUCUCAGGUGAAUUUUUCUUUCUUCAGAUCAGUUUUUGGGGCCGAGGAUAUGGCUCAAUGGUAGAGCACUUGCCUAGCACAUUCAGGGCCCUGGAUCUGAUCUCCAGCAACACACACAAAAUCUAAUUUAAUGAAGGUCAAACUGCUAAUAAAUUGUAAUAUUCAUUCCUAAGCUGUACCCCACAGUGUCGUAUUUAGCGGAGCAACAGGUGUGAUCCCACUUGCCACAUAGUUCAAGAUUCCAAAAGUUCACUUAUGAAUUUAUUUCUCACAUUUCCACCAUGAUAUGUAAGAAACGAGAUCUUAUAAUGGUUACCUAUAUAGGAACAUCCAAAUUAAUUAAAUGUAAGUUCUACCACUGAGCUACAGCCCCAGCCCCCUUUUAUUUAUUUAUUUUUUUUAAAAAGAAAAAAAAGGAUUUUAUUCAAAAUUUAUUUUUUUUAUUGGUUGUUCAAAACAUUACAAAGCUCUUGACAUAUCAUAUUUAUUUAUUUAUUUUUUAAUUUUUAAAAAUACCUUAUUUUAUUUAUUUUUAUGUGGUGCUGAGGAUCGAACUCAGGGCCCCUCGUGCAUCCAUGCGAGCGUUCUACCGCUGAGCCACAACCCCUGCCCCCUUUUUAGUUUUUAUUUGGAGACAGGGUCUUGCUAAGUUGCUGAGGCUGGCUUUGAAUUUGCAAUCCUCCUGCCUCAGCCUCCCAAGCGCUGGGAUUACAGGUGUGUACCACCAUGCAUGAUUUAUGAAUUAAAUGAAUAUGAAUUAAAUAUGAAUUAAAUGCAGACCUUCUUUACUAUAGUUCACCUUUCCUCUGUAAACAUGUCUGGGAUGUUUCAGGACUCAGUGACGUUUGAGGAUGUGGUUGUGAACUUCAGUGUGGAUGAAUGGGCUAUGUUGGAUCAUGCCCAGCGGGAACUCUACCGAGAUGUUGUCGGGGAAAUCUUUAUGAGCUUGGCCUUUAUAGGUAAGGAAGACAAUUUUUCUUUACUUACUCAAUUAAAGAGCAAGUGUUUCUUGCCCAUUAGUGAUGUUCAUGAUUUGAAACGUGGAAAGGAAAUACUGUGGUAAAUAAACUGGCAUGGUUGCAACUCAUCAGAAACUUAGAGUCUAAUAUAAUAUGUUUCCUUUUAAGUUGUAACAAUUAAUGAUUAUGACGUUUUCUCUAAGUUAUAAUAAUUCAUAAUGGUUUUUCUGGCUCUACUUUCUAGGGGAAAAAUGGGACCAGAACAUUGAAGAUUGGUACAGAAAUCAGGGGAGAAAUUUAAGGUAAUUUAUAAUGAAAGGAGAAAGCAGUCUUACCAAAGCAUCUUAAUAUGUCCUAGAGUUUUUUUUGUUGUUGUUGUUUGUUUUGUUUUUGUUUUUUGGUACCAGGGAUUCAACUCAGGAGCACUCUUCCACUGAGCCACAUCCCCAGACCUAUUUUAUAUUUUAUUUAGAGACAGGGUUUCACUGAGUUGCUUAGUGCCUUGCCAUUGCUGAGGCUGGUUUUGAAAUUGUGAUCCUCCUGUCUCAGCCUCCCAAGCCGCUGGGAUUACAGACAUGCACCACCGAGCCCAGCUGUCAUAGAGUUUUUUAUGUAAGUAAAUAAAUAAGCCUCUCUCCAAAUUUUAUGUAUUCAGAAAAAUUUCACCUAUAUAUGUAUUCAAGUGUGAUGUUCGAUGUUUGAAAAAUAGGAACCAUUUAUUAGAGUCUGCAAAUAUCACUGAGUAUCGCUGUUUUAUUUAAUAGAUGAGAUUAAGCCCUCUUGCAGAGCAUUCAAUCUGUUCACUUUCAAAUAAUUUAGACAGGGCAGAAAACCCUCACUUUCUCUGAUAACAAUAAAAAUGUCAGUUUAUAUAAUCCCAGUGGCUCAGGGGGCUGGGGCAGGAGGAUCACAGGUUCAAAGCCAGCCUCAGCAACUUAGAAAGGCCCUAAGAAACUUUGUGAGACCCUGUCUCAUUAUAAAAAAAAGUCUGGGCAUAGCGGCAGGAAAGAUAGUGGAAUGAGAUGGACAUCAUUACCCUAGGUAUAUGUAUGACUGUGCGUAUGCUGCAAUGCUACAUGUACAACCAGAGAAAUGAAAAGUGCUGUAAUUGUG
rnacentral:lncRNA from 1 species